GGGGAAUGAAGCGGGCGGCAGGGAGAUAUGCCGCCCGCUUACUCAAAAGAAUUCGGUGACGUUCUUUGGGGGGUGUUUUACUUGCAGGGGUCUGAGACUAGUAUUUGGCAGAGUGUUUGUGUGUGAGAAAAGAAGACAUGAAUUUGGAGGAGAACAGACAAAGCCUGGCAGAGAAACCUUAAACAGGUAGUCUGUGGUGAAGGUGAACAGGAGAACAACUGCAGAGAUUUCGUUGUGCUGGAGGAUGGUGAAAGAGCAUGUUGACUGGAGGCAGAGAAAAUGGUCGUUCAUUUCAGCUCCCUACUUCCAAGCAUAAAAGCUUGAAGAACACCUUGUUCUCAUGAAAUACUUUAAGUAGGACCAACACAGCAAUGACAGACAUAUCCUCCAUACGUUAUGGAUGAAAAUAGAGACACUCGUGUUUCUGGUAAAUAGAGACAAAACAUAUGAAAUGUGCCAAAUGUAAUUUGCAGGCGUGUCCCAUAAUUAUGUUUCUUUUCUCUUAAUAAAACCUAAAAUAAAUUAAAAUCA